UCUCCCUGCCACUCCCUGGCUGGGGCUUUUAUAUCUUGUCACUGGGAAGAUUCGCUGCCUUUUAUAGGCACAGCCAUUGCAGUCUUAUUUGUCCUAUUUUUGUGCUCCUAAUCAAGGCUUAUGUAACCUGCUGAUCCACUCUCAUAUGUUCACUGUGAUAUUGUUUUUCACCAUUGAAAGGCCAUUCUUUCCAAUGAGCUGGAGAUUCUGUGGUGCAUUCCUACGCUGACACCAACUGCUAUGGCUGUUAAUUCAUAGUCAAAGGUGUCUGUUUACAGUUGUGGCUGUUGUUGGAAAUGGAACUUGGACCACCAACUCAUUUCACAUAAGUGGAUGGUACACCUUUUGGUCACUAGAAACCUGUCCUGCAUGCUAAUUAGUGGAAGAAUAUCCUAUUAUUAGUCCUUUGAGCUAUCUAGUAACUGGUGUGAACUUAGUUUAUAAUUGAUUAUUGAUCUGUUAUACCAUAAUGAGUUUCCUGGCACCACUGCAGUCUAUUGGGUUAAUCUAGCUACUAAACAUGCAUACUGAGUGGUUUAGUCCUCCCUCAGUAUAGCUUGUGCAUAGCUCUUAUUCACAUUAAUGGGAGCUACGUGCUCACACUGAGGAAAGGAAUACUUAUUAGGUUGCAUGUUACAAACUCCAGAGAAAUGAUUGCAAGGCAAGUCUAGUGUUCAUGGCCAAGGGCUGAUUUUUUAAAAUGAAUAUCUCAGCUGUUCUUUCUAUGCAAAAACCAAAAACCAAACAAAAAAAAAACACUGCUAGACAGUGUCACUACAUAAUAACUGUCUAAAUGUCAUUGUUAUAUCACACCUAGUUUUGCGUUACUGUACCUAAGCUUAAAAAAAUAUUCCAAAAUAUAUGAGUUUCUUAAUUUCACUAUACCUAGGUUUGUUCUGGCCACAUUGAAAUCAAUAGGAGUUCUGCACUGACUUCAAAAGGAAGAAGAUCAUGCCUUAAGAUAUGUGCUACAUUUGUGCACAAAAAUCAUCCUGCUCUCUGCUGACAUCCCAUGUUUUAGAACUUUUAGCCCAGACAGGAUAUUUAUUGACAGGCUGUAAACUCCUGAACAAUGAGAUUUAUAAGGGGAAAUGCACUGCUGACACAAUAUUAGAUACCGGGCCAAAUUCAUUCCUGGUGUAAUUCAGUGACAUUGGGUGAAGUCACUAGGCUAUAUAUUUGUGAGCAGCGAUGUCAUAAUUUGCCCAAUUCCACACUGAGAUCACCCAGAUAUGUAAUCUACCUGUCUUGAUGACUUUAAUAUUAUAGAACUAGGGACAGAAAUUUCCAUGGGAUUUGGGCAUCUAAAUCUCUUAGUUUCCUUUAAAAAAUCCCAUCCUGGACUCAGGGCAAGGUAAGGGAGGCUCAUCUAUGAGCAGUGCUGGUCUUGGUGGGAUUCCAAAAGGGUGUGGACAUUUAUUUGGGUAACAAGAAUAUCCAGAUUAAUGAAUGUGCACUCGGUGCACUUGCACAUACCAGGGGGAAUGCUCUCCCCCGCCCCUCAAAACAACUCUGGGACAGGGAGAGGGCAGGUCAUCAUCUGGAGAGGGCCCUGCCUGCACGCUAUGGCAAGAGCUCACUGGCCGGAGUGGGCAGGCCUGCAAAGCCUGCAGGACAAGAGCUGCUGCAGGAUGAGUGUGGGGUGGGCUCACUUUUCAAUAACCCUCCCCCUGGGACCUCCCACCCCUGGGGCCAGUGGAGAUGUGGGGUCCCCCAUUGCCAUACUACAUAGGGCCACAACAUUCUUUAAUUGGGCAAUGCCACAGUUAUCAUAAUUAAUGCUAACAAAGUUUGGAAGAGAUGUUAACCCUCAUACUAAUCUGAUCACUAAAUAUUAGAAAUUAGGAGGAAACCUAAUGUGGAGAACAGAUUAUCCUACAUGUGAGCUUUCUUGCAUGGUUCUCUGCUGCAACUGGUGCUGGCCGUUGUCAGAAACAGGAUGCUGGAGUACAUGGCCCAUAGGCAAUGCUCUGAUGUCUUGCAAUACAUUUACAACUGAUGUCCUCCAGAGUAUACUUGAUACUAGAUACUUUCAAAAGAUCAUAUAUUAAGGGUCAGAUUCUGACAAGCUUACUUAUGUUGAUUAAUAACUUAAUGUAAAGGUGGCUGAAUUUAGUCUUGAAGGAAUAGGUUAUAUUUUUAAUCUCCCAGAUACCUCUGAGAAUACGGUUAUUAUAUUUAUAUCAGAUUAUUAUAUUUUUCAUGCACCGAAGGCCUGAUUUUCAGGUAGUCAUAAAUCAAUUGGAAAGUGGGCCACAAACCCAUAUGUACUAUAGAAUAAUAAUAACUAGGUGUUUCAGUGCCACGUAAAGAAAUAAUCCGCAUAACAAAAUAUUCUUCCAGUGAUUUGGUAUGGUUGCCUCCUAGAAAUUGGAAGACCUAGAGUUGUUGGUUUCAGGACCUCCGAGGCAGGUCCUGAAUACCAUGGUAGCUGAAUGCAUAUGUUUACUAUUACUUAUUCCACAUAUUUGUUUAAUCACGUAAAUAAAUGAAUGUUGCAUCGCAUGACCUUUCUGGGUUCCUUUCUGGGUUCUUUCAUAUUAGUUUUGCUCUUGUUUAUUUUUGUACGUUUCAUUAUUAAUGAGCCUGGAAGUACUUUACUCUUUCAUGUCAU